AAAUCACUUAGUAAUAAAAAUAACCGAAUUAAAUGAUUGAUAAAUCCAUACAUACAUAUAGUAUAUAAAGGAAAAAAUUUCCUUCUUACUGCUAUCACCAAAAUGGAGAAGUUUAAACAUAUGUUUAUUAUAUAUGUUCUGGUUUCUGUUAUGAUGAUCAGCACUAACGUUUAUGGACAAACCUAUAUAAAUUAUGGCCUUCCUAGUUACAACGGUCCUUCUUGUAGUAUUGGAACUGCAGAUAUCAGCUUUCUUGGUUUUGAAGCAUCCUUCAAUCAUAUGCCUUGUGCUUUUCAUUGUUACUUAAAGCUAAAAACUGGGGGGUAUUGCCAUGAUGGUGUAUGUAUUUGCAGACAUUAAACUUUUACUUUUAUAUACCAAAUAGUUUUAUUGAAAAUUAUUUGAAAAAAAUCAAGAAUAUAAUGUUUCUAAAAUAAUUCCUAUAACUACUACGAAUUAUUUUGUAAUUAUACAUUCUGAAAAAUAUUGGAAUUAAUAUGGUUAGUAAAAUGUGAAUAUGUCUCCAAAUAAUAGAUAUUGAUAAGAAAAUAAUAAAUAUUUUGUCGCAAACGUAAUAAAAUUCAAUUGAAAAUUACUAUAUAUAAAAAAUGAUAAGGUACCCCAGGAAGUAAUUUCGAGUUCUAAAUUGAACAUUUUCUGGAAUAAACAACGAGUUUGGCGAGUAUGUGUAGAGAAAAGAAUAAUCAUAUAAAAACAUGUAUUGUAAUCAUUAUUAUUUAUAAAAGUAGAUUUAUUUUAUUACAAAAUAAUAAUAAAUCACGUAGCAAUAAAAACGACUGAAUCAAAUGAUUAAUAAACCCAAGGUAUAUAAAGACAACCAUUUUCUUCACACUGCUUUUGGCAAAAUGAGCAAGCUUCAACAUAUGUUUAUUAUUUAUGUUCUGGUUUCUGUUAUGGUGAUCAGUACUUAUGGACAGUCAAAAAAGAAUUAUGAUAAAGAAUAUGAAGAUUAUGAUGGUGAUGUUCCGAGAGGCCCUUCUUGCAACACAAACAUUAAUUUUCUUGGUAUCAAAGCAUCACUCAAUCAUGCGCCUUGUGCCUUAUAUUGUUACAUGAAACUAAAAUCAGGAGGGUAUUGCAAAUAUGAUACAUGCAUUUGCAGAGAUUAAACACAUAUUUUUAUAUACAAAAUAGUUUUAUUGUAAAGAAAAAAAACUAUAUUGUUACUAAAAUAGCAAAUUUUGUAAUGAUCAUGUUUGUGAAAUAAUAAAUAAUAUAAUAAUCCAGA